rnacentral:rRNA from 1 species
UGGGCUCGAAAUGUGCAGGACACCCCUAGAAAUAGGGUCUCCCAGCAAUGGGUCUGUAUAU